AAAAAAAGAUUAGAUCACGCCAUGCUGCAAAAUUCGAGGGACCAAUCGCACAAAUAGCUCAUUCACCGCAAACAUGCGGAUUCUGUGGACUGCUAGGUCGGGUUUUCGGGUCUUAUUCGAAAUGACGUCGUUUUGGCUAUCAUCACUUAAGCCUAAAACGGCGCCGUAUAGAUACCCAUAUAAAUAGUUAAAAUAAAACAAAAAAAAAUCAGCCCCC
rnacentral:lncRNA from 1 species